UCUGGUGGAGCCUUCUAAUCAGACUUGGGACAACGAACGCCCUAAAUACCUGGACCUGGAGAGGACUGCAUCCUCACUCACCAUGACACAUCUCAGAAAGUAUAUGGCUAUGAGGCAGGACCCGCUGGAGUGAGGGUCUUCCAGGGACAAGGAAAAGAGUGGCCUUUCUAGGUUUUAUGCCUUGCUCUCAUGGAAAGGCAUUCUAGUUUCCAUGAUCCAUCUUGAGGAAGAAGAAUUCUGGUCUCUGUGACUCACUUUAGGGAAGAAAAGAAGAUGGAAGACAGAAAGAUGGCAGAAAGUCAGAAAGAGCUUGAUUCUGAGGCCCUGCCAGCUUCCUUCAGCUUGAAGCACUCAGCACACCAAGGCUUCACACUUUAGGGCUUCAGUCAACCUUGCAUGGUUCUGCUGUCUUAGAACCUUGCCAGCUGUCAUCAGAUCAAGCCUAGGCUAGCUUGCUAGAAGAUGAGAAAUCAUGUG